AUUGAACGCUGGCGGCAGGCCUAACACAUGCAAGUCGAACGAGUGGCGGACGGGUGAGUACUGUCUGGGAAACAGCCCGAUGGCGGGGGAUACCUACUGGAACCGGUAUCUAAUCCCGCACACCCUCGACUGUUCCCAGAUUGGAUUAGCUAGUAGGUGGGGUAACGGCUCACGUAGGCGACGAUCCCUAGCUGGUCUGAGAGGCGGACCAGCAACACUGGAACGGAGACACGGUCCAGACUCCUACGGGAGGCAGCAGUGGGGAAUAUGGCACAAUGGGCGGAAGCCUGAUGCAGCCAUGCCGCGUGUAUGAAGAAGGCCGUCGGGUUGUAAAGUACUUUCAGCGAGGAGGCGUUACUCGCAGAAGAAGCACCGGCUAACUCCGUGCCAGCAGCCGCGGUAAUAC
rnacentral:rRNA from 1 species